CCCUUAGAUGUUCUGGGCCGCACGCGCGCUAAACUGACGAAUUCAACGAGUUUAUAACCUUUGCUGGGAGGCAUGGGUAAUCUUGUGAACGUUCGUCGUGAUGGGGAUAGAUUAUUGCAAUUGUUAAUCUUCAACGAGGAAUUCCUAGUAAACGCAAGUCAUCAGCUUGCAUUGAUUACGUCCCUGCCCUUUGUACACACCGCCCGUCGCACCUACCGAUUGAAUGGUCCGGUGAAUUCUUCGGACUGCGGCUUUGACUCGAUUUCGGUCGAGGCGUUGCUGCGGGAAGUUGAUUAAACCUUACCAUUUAGAGGAAGGUGAAGUCGUAACA
rnacentral:rRNA from 1 species